CCUACGGGAGGCAGCAGUGGGGAAUUUUGGACAAUGGGCGCAAGCCUGAUCCAGCCAUGCCGCGUGUGGGAAGAAGGCCUUCGGGUUGUAAACCACUUUUGUCAGGGAAGAAACGGCCUUUACUAAUAUUAGGGGCUAAUGACGGUACCUGAAGAAUAAGCACCGGCUAACUACGUGCCAGCAGCCGCGGUAAUACGUAGGGUGCAAGCGUUAAUCGGAAUUACUGGGCGUAAAGCGUGCGCAGGCGGCUUUGCAAGACAGAUGUGAAAUCCCCGGGCUCAACCUGGGAACUGCAUUUGUGACUGCAUGGCUAGAGUACGGUAGAGGGGGAUGGAAUUCCGCGUGUAGCAGUGAAAUGCGUAGAUAUGCGGAGGAACACCGAUGGCGAAGGCAAUCCCCUGGACCUGUACUGACGCUCAUGCACGAAAGCGUGGGGAGCAAACAGGAUUAGGUACCCUGGUAGUCCACGCCCUAAACGAUGUCAACUGGUUGUUGGACGGCUUGCUGUUCAGUAACGAAGCUAACGCGUGAAGUUGACCGCCUGGGGAGUACGGCCGCAAGGUUGAAACUCAAAGGAAUUGACGGCUGAGACGUGCGAGACGACGACGAGGGAGGAGG
rnacentral:rRNA from 1 species